rnacentral:rRNA from 1 species
CAGUCGCCGCGGUAAUACGAGGGGGGCAAGCGUUGUCCGGAAUUAUUGGGCGUAAAGGGCGCGUAGGCGGUUUGGCAAGUUUGGUGUGAAAUCUUCGGGCUCAACUCGAAGUCUGCAUCGAAAACUGCCGGGCUUGAGUAUGGGAGAGGUGAGUGGAAUUUCCGAUGUAGCGGUGAAAUGCGUAGAUAUCGGAAGGAACACCUGUGGCGAAAGCGGCUCACUGGACCAUUACUGACGCUGAGGCGCGAAAGCUAGGGGAGCAAACAGGAUUAGAUACCCCGGUAGUCCCUGUCACUUAUAC